GACGAACGCUGGCGGCGUGCUUAACACAUGCAAGUCGAACGAUGACGACCGAGCUUGCUCGGUCUGAUUAGUGGCGAACGGGUGCGUAACACGUGAGCAACCUGCCCUUCACUUUGGGAUAACCUCGGGAAAUCGGGGUUAAUACCGGAUAUGAGCUCCUGUCGCAUGGCGGGUGUUGGAAAGUUUUUCGGUGCAGGAUGGGAUCGCGGCCUAUCGGUUUGUUGGGGAGGGAGUGGCUCACCAAGGCAAUGACGGGUAGCCGGCCUGGGAGGGUGACCGGCCACACGAGGACUGAGACACGGCCCAGACUCCAACGGGAGGCAGCAGUGGGGAAUAUUGCACAAUGGGCGAAAGCCUGAUACAGCGACGCCGCGUGAGGGAUGACGGCCUUCGGGGUGUAAACCUCUUUCAGCAGGGAAGAAGCGAAAGUGACGGUACCUGCAGAAGAAGCGCCGGCUAACUACGUG
rnacentral:rRNA from 1 species